rnacentral:piRNA from 1 species
UGCCCAAGCUCUGCCAUGGACCUGGAC